CUGAAGCGUCUCCCCUCUGAGAGUGCCGAUCCCGGCAGCCCUCCGCCACACUGCCUGGGAACUCCGAGAGCAGCGGUGUCCAACCACAGCGAAAAAAGAGGCGGAGCUGAGAACCGAAAACGCGUCGCCUGUCCUGCAAUCAACAGAGUGAAGUCAUAACCAAAAAUAUCUUAGGCUGCUAUGGAUAAGACGUGAAAGGGUUCUUUUGAAGACCCUGACCUGGAGUUACACGCUGACUUCAGUUCUUUGUGAGAAUGGGACCUGCUCUCGGGGUUUUAUGACUGGCCGUUAUUCGAUAUGCCAAGGAUACGGCGUAGGAGAUUAGUCUUCUUCAGAGUUCUGGGAUCUCGUGGCUCUGGAGGUGGGUGGACUCAAGUCGCUGCAGGAAUUCAGUGUGUCGCGUGAGACGGAAGGUCGAAAGCCGCAAGCUGACUGCUGGCUGUGUACCCAGAGAUCCGAGUUCUUUGGGCACAGAGCUCAGAAAAGGCGAGGCUAUGGGCUUUUAAUACCAUAAAUCAGUGAGUUGUUUAUUAUGUCUCCCUGUGAAAUGGGGACACCUCUUUUUCCCGUUUUAGAGAGAGAGAAAGAGAGAGCCUGUGGUAAGUCAAAUACUGGGUGAUUGAGUAGUCUUUGGAGUACUGCAAAUCUGUGUUUUAAUUGAUGUUUUGCUGCACGUUUGAGUACU